AUUGAACGCUGGCGGCAGGCUUAACACAUGCAAGUCGAGCGGAGAGGGGUAGCUUGUUACUGAUCUUAGCGGCGGACGGGUGAGUAAUGCUUAGGAAUCUGCCUAUUAGUGGGGGACAACAUUUCGAAAGGAAUGCUAAUACCGCAUACGUCCUACGGGAGAAAGCAGGGGAUCUUCGGACCUUGCGCUAAUAGAUGAGCCUAAGUCGGAUUAGCUAGUUGGUGGGGUAAAGGCCUACCAAGGCGACGAUCUGUAGAGGGUCUGAGAGGAUGAUCCGCCACACGUGGACUGAGACACGGCCAGGACUCCUACGGGAGGUAGCAGUGGGGAAUAUUGGACAAUGGGCGGAAGCCUGAUCCAGCCAUGCCGCGUGUGUGAAGAAGGCCUUAUGGUUGUAAAGCACUUUAAGCGAGGAGGAGGCUACUUUAGUUAAUACCUAGAGAUAGUGGACGUUACUCGCAGAAUAAGCACCGGCUAACUCUGUGCCAGCAGCCGCCGUAACAC
rnacentral:rRNA from 1 species